GAAAUAUAAUAAAAUUAAGCUUCUAACUUAAUUAAUAGCAUUAAAUGUUAAUAUUUCU
rnacentral:tRNA from 1 species